rnacentral:lncRNA from 1 species
GGCCCAGGAGGCCACUAAGUGAGGAAAAGCCUCCUGAUCGCCAUUUCCUGUGGAAUCUGAGGGUGAAUGGAAGGUGGAGGACCGUAUUCAUGGAAGAGGAUUGAACAGACUACUGAGUUCUUAAGAGAAGAAUGGCACUUAAGAAAUUGAUGGUGAUACCAAAGGAAGGUUACUUAUUACACUUGGACUUUGAUGAUGAGCACGAUGACAUAAAAGUUUCAGAGGAGGCUCUUUUGGAAGUUUGAAGAAUUUUGGUCUUAGGUCUCCAUGUGUAAGACCCUGAAGAUGGACCUCCUCUCAAGUCCAUUAAAGUCCUCAGAUGAGA